rnacentral:sRNA from 1 species
GGACCGAUGGAUGAGAUUUCUUAUUACUCAUCAUCCUAAUUAGCAUGUGUGAACUUUGUCAUACAGAUUAGUGAAAAAUAAUAUCUUGAUAUGGUUAUGAUGUGCAUAUUUGUGAUUACUAAGGAUGGUGAACUUUUCCUUAAAUGAAAACAUCAUUUCAUGGUCAAUUACGGGUAAUUAAAGGAAGAAAUUUGUCUUUGAAUACCAAAAAGAUACACGAUUUAGAGAGUCAUUCCAAAGAAAAAAACCUAUACUACUUGGGACAUCUAACGUAUGCUCUUCUUCAGAGUCGUUGAAAGAAUGAUGCAGUACCCUGUUUUCUGCCACACCAUAUUACACACGAGUCAUCACAAUUGUUAAAGAUCAAUGAGAAUCGUCUGAAGCUGCCUGAGAGAAAUAAUGGAUGGUGAGAAAUGUUUUGCUUUGCACUCCAAUUUAUAUAACUAAUAUGAAUUUAUUAGUUGAAGUCUUGAAGCUGUGAAAGUGGCAACACACAGCCAGCAAUGAUGGGGCAGUAUUUCUGGCAACAGUAAUCAAAGUUCCCUCCAUGGAAACUAAGAUUCUAUUGCAUCUAUGGGAGCCAGUCAGUAGACCUUUGACAGAAAAAUUGGAAGGCUCACCUGUGAUACUGAUCUUGAAGAUGAAAGAUCCAAGUUUCUGGCCUAGUUCUUGGCAUGGAGAUCUGGAAGCAUAGGGUAAGACAAGGAGAUCUCGCUGUUCUAGGUCAUCUGGGACAAAGCAAGUCCAAGAUCGAGGCAUGGUGGUACACACCUUUAAUCUAGGACACACCUUCUGCUAGAGACCUACAUAAGGACAUUGGAAGAUGGAAGAUACUAUCCUCACCUGUCUGAGAUGUGGGACUGAGACACUGCUAGAUCCUUGGACUUCCAUUCACAGCUGCUGCUGGCCAUUGUUGGGGAGUUGGACUACAGACU